GACUGCUGCACAGUUCCUACAGGUCUUCAAAGUCUUGAAUAUCCAAAUCUGCAUUUAGUAUCUUAACAAAGUCUUUAAAAGGUAUUAAAUUUUCUAUGGCAGGUCUUAAUUUAUGUUGCCAUAAACGUGUUUGCUGUAUUGUGUUUAAAUGUGUCCAAGCUGCAAAGAAAGUAAC